rnacentral:rRNA from 1 species
GGUGAACGCUGGCGGCGUGCCUAAGACAUGCAAGUCGAGCGGGCCGCGGGGUUUUACUCCGUGGUCAGCGGCGGACGGGUGAGUAACGCGUGGGUGACCUACCCGGAAGAGGGGGACAACCCGGGGAAACUCGGGCUAAUCCCCCAUGUGGACCCGCCCCUUGGGGUGUGUCCAAAGGGCUUUGCCCGCUUCCGGAUGGGCCCGCGUCCCAUCAGCUAGUUGGUGGGGUAAUGGCCCACCCAGGCGACGACGGGUAGCCGGCCUGAGAGGGUGGCCGGCCACAGGGGCACUGAGACACGGGCCCAACUCCUACGGGAGGCAGCAGUUAGGAAUCUUCCGCAAUGGGCGCAAGCCUGACGGAGCGACGCCGCUUGGAGGAAGAAGCCCUUCGGGGUGUAAACUCCUGAACCCGGGACGAAACCCCCGACGAGGGGACUGACGGUACCGGGGUAAUAGCGCCGGCCAACUCCGUG